AGUGAACGCUGGCGGUAGGCCUAACACAUGCAAGUCGAACGGCAGCACAGUAAGAGCUUGCUCUUACGGGUGGCGAGUGGCGGACGGGUGAGGAAUACAUCGGAAUCUACUUUUUCGUGGGGGAUAACGUAGGGAAACUUACGCUAAUACCGCAUACGACCUACGGGUGAAAGCAGGGGAUCUUCGGACCUUGCGCGAUUGUAUGAGCCGUUGUCGGAUUAGCUAGUUGGCGGGGUAAAGGCUCACCAAGGCGACGAUCCGUAGCUGGUCUGAGAGGAUGAUCAGCCACACUGGAACUGAGACACGGUCCAGACUCCUACGGGAGGCAGCAGUGGGGAAUAUUGGACAAUGGGCGCAAGCCUGAUCCAGCCAUACCGCGUGGGUGAAGAAGGCCUUCGGGUUGUAAAGCCCUUUUGUUGGGAAAGAAAAGCAGCAGGUUAAUACCCCGCUGUUCUGACGGUACCCAAAGAAUAAGCACCGGCUAACUUCGUG
rnacentral:rRNA from 1 species